rnacentral:rRNA from 1 species
UACAGAGACCUCAAGCGUUAUCCGGAAUCAUUGGGCGUAAAGCGUACCGACAGGUGGUCAUACAAGUCAGAAGUGAAAUCUCAAAGCUUAACUUUGAGUCUGUCUUUUGAAACUGUAUGACUAGAGGGGCAAAGAGGAAGCUGGAACGAACGGUGUAGUAGUGAAAUGCGUUGAUAUCGUUCGGAACACCAGUGGCGAAGGCGACUUUCUGGUCUGUAACUGACACUGAGGCGCGAAAGCGUGGGGAGCAAACAGG